rnacentral:ncRNA from 1 species
CUCAUAAAUAGAGGCGCGGAUAAAUAGUGUAGUACAGGGAUGUUAAGGAGAAGAACCUUCAAUGCCCUGUAUAAAGGGUUUGUCUGCCGAAAGAUAUGAUGUGUUCUUGCGUCCUAUCUUGGAAAUAAAGUAUACAGCUUUAUUUUUGCCGUAUUUUACGGAGCGCUAUUUAUGUA